AUUGAACGCUGGCGGCAUGCCUUACACAUGCAAGUCGAACGGCAGCACGGGGCAACCUGGUGGCGAGUGGCGAACGGGUGAGUAAUGCAUCGGAACGUACCUUUCAGUGGGGGAUAACGUAGCGAAAGUUACGCUAAUACCGCAUAUUCUGUGAGCAGGAAAGCAGGGGAUCGCAAGACCUUGCGCUGAUUGAGCGGCCGAUGUCAGAUUAGCUAGUUGGUGAGGUAAAGGCUCACCAAGGCGACGAUCUGUAGCGGGUCUGAGGGGAUGAUCCGCCACACUGGAACUGAGACACGGGCCAGACUACUACGGGAGGCAGCAGUGGGGAAUUUUGGACAAUGGGGGCAACCCUGAUCCAGCCAUGCCGCGUGAGUGAAGAAGGCCUUCGGGUUGUAAAGCUCUUUCGGCCGGGAAGAAAUCGCACGGGCUAAUACCCUGUGUGGAUGACGGUACCGGAAUAAGAAGCACCGGCUAACUACGUGCCAGCCGCCGCCGUAACAC
rnacentral:rRNA from 1 species